rnacentral:rRNA from 1 species
UACGUAGGGUCCAAGCGUUGUUCGGAUUUACUGGGCGUAAAGGGCGCGUAGGCGGCGUGUCAAGUCAAUUGUGAAAUCUCCGGGCUUAACUCGGAACGGUCAAUUGAUACUGAUGUGCUAGAGUGCAGAAGGGGCAAUCGGAAUUCUUGGUGUAGCGGUGAAAUGCGUAGAUAUCAAGAGGAACACCUGAGGUGAAGACGGGUUGCUGGGCUGACACUGACGCUGAGGCGCGAAAGCUAGGGUAGCAAACGGG